rnacentral:tRNA from 1 species
AACAUAACUUAUAAUAACAUUGGGCCAUGGCCCAACCCGAGAGUUGCU